rnacentral:rRNA from 1 species
GACGAACGCUGGCGGCGCGCCUAACACAUGCAAGUCGAACGGAGUCAAGAGGAGCUUGCUUUUCUUGACUUAGUGGCGAACGGGUGAGUAACGCGUGAGUAACCUGCCCUGGAGUGGGGGACAACAGUUGGAAACGACUGCUAAUACCGCAUAAGCUCACGGAUCUGCAUGGAUCUGCGGGAAAAGGAUUUAUUCGCUCUAGGAUGGACUCGCGUCCAAUUAGCUAGUUGGUGAGGUAACGGCCCACCAAGGCGACGAUUGGUAGCCGGACUGAGAGGCUGAACGGACACAUUGGGACUGAGACACGGCCCAGACUCCUACGGGAGGCAGCAGUGGGUGAUAUUGCACAAUGGGGGAAGCCCUGAUGCAGCGACGCCGCGUGGAGGAAGAAGGUUUUCGGAUUGUAAACUCCUGUCGUUAGGGACGAUAAUGACGGUACCUAACAAGAAAGCACCAGCUAACUACGUG